AUUCCACACAGGAAGAUCACACCAUCCCUCACCAUCAUCAGGAUGAGGAACUAAAAGACAUCAAAGCUGAGAUUAAAAAAGA